CUUGGUCUGAUUGCCUCUUUUGCAACCAGCACCCAAAAAAAAAAAAUAAAAAUAAAAAACCAACUCAAAUUUAGAAUGUUCGCCUUCGUCCACAAAAUUCAAAUUUAUCUCUAAACUUUCGCGGCAAUUUCUUGAGGUUCGGAUGGAGGAGGAGCAAGACCAUGGCCUCGCUAAUGGAGUCCUUUCCUGCCCUAAUCGACUUCCCGGCUGUCCAAUUGAAGGUAUGGAAUCUGUGGUUGCGACCGUCAGUGGCUACCACGGCACAGAAAGAUUCAACCUUAUCAAGAUGAUAUCUUAUACUGGUGCCAGCUAUGUGGGCGCAAUGUCAAGGUCAAUUACUCAUUUGAUUUGUUGGGAAUUACAAGGGAGGAAAUUUAAUCUUGCUAAGAAGUUUAGAACAAUAAUAGUCAAUCAUCGUUGGCUUGAAGAUUGCAUUAAACAUGGAAAGCGUGUCCCAGAAGGUCCAUACGUUCUUCAAAGUGGCCAAUUGGCAGGUCCCUUGUCAAUGAAACUCCCUCUUGCUGAAAAGGGCUCCGUCUCAACCAAAAAGAAUAACUUGCUUUGUGAAAAGUUACAUAAUUAUGGAAAUGUUGAUGAUCAAAGCAUUAAAGACAUAUGCUCUUUUGAUGAUUCAAUCUUGCCCCAUUCUUCUUUGCUGGAUAAGGAUCUGUACUCUGAUUUUAGGAAUAGUGAUGUCACUGCUCAUAAAGCAAAGGACAUAUUGCGGAGGAGGAUUUCUAAGCAAGAAGACUCGUCAAGCUCAAGUAGCAGAAACCAUUUUGAGGAACCAACUCCCUCUGGUUUUUUUGCGAUUGAGCGUGGUAGUUCUUCGAGGUUGGCGAGAGAUGAAAGAAAAGGUGAAAGUAGUAAUCAGGACUCAACUGUAAACUCUUCAAGGAGAUGUCGCCGGCUUGUGAAUAAAAAUUCUACCGAAGAUCAUAAUAAGGCUGACAUUUGGAAUUUUGACCUGAGGCGGAAUCAUUUGGGAACUCGUAAUAGUCUUACAGGUCCUUCUAGCCAUUGGGAUGAUGAAACAAAUAUUGAAGUGGUAAACAUUGGAGGAACAUCUGACCGUGACCAGUUAUGGGACGAAAGGGGACUAUCAAGUGAUAGUUUUGAAGGCAUUGAAGCUUGUGAGGACCAAUCUACUUCCAGAGAUACAAACUUACAAGUUGAGAAUGCACCAAGAGGGUCAUCGAUAACUUCAGAAGAUGAAUUGCACAAUAUUAACAAUUUACAAAAGAAUAUUGAGGAUCCAGUUAUAGAACUCAAUGCAAGCUUACCCUCCACCUCAACAGAGUUAUCUUGUGUCAUCUGUUGGACAGAUUUUAGUUCGACGAGGGGAGUUUUGCCCUGUGGGCAUCGAUUUUGCUAUUCAUGCAUUCAGAACUGGGCAGAUCACAUGGCUUUGAGCAGGAAGAUCUCAACUUGCCCUUUGUGCAAAGCCACUUUUCUGAGCAUCACAAAGGUUGAAGAUGCUGCCACCUCCGAUCAGAAGAUAUACUCCCAAACAAUUCCAUGUGGACCAUCACUAUUGGAUAUUUACAUUCUUCCUGAUGAAAGAACUCUUAACAACGUUGUUCAGCCCUCUGUAGCAGCUGUUUGUAGCGCAUGCCGAUGUCGGGAACCAGAGGACCUCCUCAUGAGCUGCCAUCUUUGUCAGAUUCGACAUAUUCAUUCAUACUGUCUGGACCCUCCUUUGUUACCAUGGACUUGUAUUCACUGUAAGGAUCUGCAGAUACUCUACCAUCGAAGCCAUUAAUUUCUUGUCUUGAAAUCAGGUAACUUGCCUCCACUUCUGAUUCUGUCAUAUUGUUAUGUAUACUUCUCAAAAUUCAUCUGAGUUGGCCGUUGGGUAUUGUUGGAUUUUGGUGUUGGGAAAUUGGAUAAAAGGGUAGUGUUGUGAGCACAAACAAAUAGCGAGCAACUUGUCUUGAGCAUUUGUGUCAGGCGAUCCAAUUUGCCACCUUGUUGGCCAUUUUUUUUUUUUUUAAAUACAUACCUUUUUUUGUUAACUUCUGAAACGUUGUUUUUGAUUACUUAAACCAUUUUUUAAAAACUUUUUGGUCCUUUGCCAUUUUGCUUUCUUACUUCCAUUAGUUACAUACUUGGUUAUUGUCAUACCUUUAGGGUUUGUUUGGGGCCCAAUAUCCUAUAUGGGGAGAUCAUAUAGCCUCUAUAUCACCGUUUAAUUCAUUGAUAUAUCAUCUCCCCUUUUCACUUCCUUCAACAUUACAGUAACCCUUAUUUAACAACUCUUUCAUCUUCUCCACCCCCACUUCCUAUGUCUCCUCUCUUCUCAUACCCGAUCGUCAAUCUCUCCUCCCUUCUUACGACCCACUUACGUUUUUAUUUAUUUAUUCUUUUCUUGAGUUUAUUUCAUUAUACUUCGGGUGUAAUUUUUUUCCACUAUAUCCAUUUUAUUAAGAAACCAUGAUAUUUCAAUCUAGUUCUAUGCACCCAUUUUUUAUCUUCAAUUUACAUACAUCAUUUUUUCUUCCAAUGUCUUGUGAUAAAGUAUAUUAAUAAUUUAUCAUCUAUAAAUUGUCAUUCAAGUUUUCAUUUUUAUUUGCUUAGUAUAUUAUUAUUUAUCUGUAUAAUAUCCAUUAAAAAAAUCACAAUAUUUUGGAUUAAAUCUUUGUACACGAUUUCUCAAAAAUAAAAAAAAAAAUCUUCAUAUACAACAUAAAUAUUCAAAAUCUACUCUUCAAAAACUCAUUAUAAAACCUCAAUAGAAAACUCAUCCAUGAAUAUAUAUGAGAAAGACUUCAACGAAAUCCCUAAAAUCAAACAGAAGCAAAACAUUUUUUUUUAAUAUCUCACUAAAAUAUUUAAUUGACCAUUCAUAACUUUUUAGUUUUCGAUAGUUUUUAAAAAUUAAAUUUAUAAAUACUACUUUCACUCUUUUAUUGUUAUUUUUAUUUGUCUUACUUUUGAAGAAUCUUUUCAAAAUUCAAGUCAUGAAUGAAAAUUCUAUAUAUAUAUAUAUGUAUGUAGUAUUAAAAAGUGGAAAAAGGUUUAGGUUUUAGAAAAAAGUUGGUACGUCCAUCCCUGGCUUAGAAUUAAAUCUCGUAUUUUUAAAUGUUGGUAUUUUGUUGACUAUUUACGAUUAAUCUUAAAUUUUGACUUAUUAUUUUUUUAAACAACAAUAAUAAAGAAUUAUUUAAAACACAAUAAUUGAAUACAAAAAUUUGAAUUGAUACAAUAAUUGAAUUAUAAGAUUAAAAAAAAUAGUGUUCAUACAGACAAAUUAUUUUAUAGUACAAAAAUCUGAACUAGAUAACACUGACAUAUGAACUCUGCACAUCCAAACACAGACAUGAACUUAGACAUAACAAUUCUGCACACCUAAAUACCGAAAUAUGAACUCAUACAAUACAACUCUUCAUCCUAAACACAGACAUAAGAACUUUCUAGACAUCAAAACUCUAGACAUCUUAUAUCAUCUCAGCGUCCCGAACAACCCCUUAUAUUUAUCAAAGUAAAUGAGAAAUUGUGCCCACACUAUAAUAAAUAGAUCCUACCUUUUCUAUGAUGUGAAUCAUGUAUAUAAUAUAUUCAUUGUAUUUUUGGACCCAAUGGGGCAGCCCCGUUGGCAGAGGCACAGUUUCUUGUUAAUAUCUACUUAGAAGCGACGUGUUUGAAUCUUUGAGUGAGCUUAAUACACGAAGACCCUUGAUUUCUCCAAAUUUGGACCUUGAGACAGGCGAAAGGUUCUCUAGGACUAGUGGAGAUGGGUCCCAAUACAUAAAGGUGAUUGCAAAGACAAAGAGCAAUUGAAGUUAGCUGAAGAUUUUGAAGCAAAGAAAAGCCAAUGUGCCCUCCCACAAAUCCUUCACUGCUAAGCUGCUUUUAACCGAAAUAAGAUUUUUAGGGGGAAACAAAUUUUCCGUCCGUACAUCUUUUGGAAAUUCUUAUGUGCAUAAAGCAUAAUUAUUAGUACAUUGAAAUCAUCGACACUCCUUUUUCUAACCGUUCAUGUGAAUUUGAAGGUUUCAAGUUCAACAUUUUUUAAAUUUUUUUUUAUUCUAUUGUUUCUAGUUUGUAGUAUGGUAUUUUUACGAGGACAAGAAU